rnacentral:misc_RNA from 1 species
GAUGAAGAACGUAGCGAAAUGCGAUAAGUAGUGUGAAUUGCAGAAUUCAGUGAAUCAUCGAAUCUUUGAACGCACAUUGCGCCCCUUGGUAUUCCAUGGGGCAUGCCUGUUCGAGCGUCAUUUGUACCCUCAAGCUUUGCUUGGUGUUGGGUGUUUGUCCCGCGUUGCGCGUGGACUCGCCUUAAAGCGAUUGGCAGCCGGCAUAUUGGCCUUGGAGCGCAGCACAUUUUGCGCUUCUAGUCAUGAAUGUUGGCGUCCAUUAAGCCUAUACAUUUGCUCUUGACCUCGGAUCAGGUAGGGAUACCCGCUGAACCUAAGCAUAUCAAUAAGCGGAGGA